GUCCAGGAAUGGGAAUCGAACCCACAAUGUUCCGCUUACCGGGCAGAUGCCAUGUCCACUAGGCUACCCUGGA